rnacentral:rRNA from 1 species
GGUAUUGUCUGCCCGGUGAAUAGAUAAUAUUUAAACGGCCGCAGUACUUUGACUGUGCUAAGGUAGCAAAAUAAAUUGGCUUCUAAUUAGAGUCGAGUAUGAAAGGCAUAAUGGGUAAAAGCUGUCUCUUCAACAAUGUAAUUAAUUUAAUUAAUAGGUGCAAAUGCCUAUAGGUAACCAAUAGACGAGAAGACCCUUAGAGUUUUAUAAUAUACAAGGCUGCUUUUAUUGCUAGUCAAACAUUUUUUGUUGGGGCGACAAAGUACCAUCUAUUAAAACGUACUAAAGAUCAUACAAUAUACUAGUCUAAAAAAGUUAAACAUGAAUAUAACUACCUAAGGGAUAACAGCAUAAUUUAAUUUUUAAGAUUGUGACCUCGAUGUUGGACUAGGAACUAAGAGUAUUAGUCAUACG